CAUUUACGUAGUGUUUAGCAUUGACCAGGCACUAUUCUCCUAUGUCAGUUCUUUUGGGGAUUGUCACCCCCGUUUUUCAGAUGAGAAGUCAGAGGCUCGGAUUAAGGCCCUUGCCUGAGGUCGAAGGACUGAUAGGUGGCAGAACGGGGAUUGCAGCACAGACACUCCGUCCUGCCUUGAGAAGCGUUGCUGACCGGUGGCCUCCGGUCUCCAAUCCGCUCCCUCCUGCUCUGGGACCUGCUCAGAUCCGGGCCCCUCCCUACCUCACCACCCAGAUUCUCCUCUCAAGUCACCCAUCUCCUGCACACGACCAAACCUAGUGCGCGGCUCCUUCCUCCUGGAACUCUCUGUGCCCUUGCUUCCCCGACGCCGUCCUCUUGUGGUUUUCUUCCUUUCACACCUUUUUAGUCUCUUUUACUGGUUCCCCUUUGAUUGUCCAAGAUCUAAGCAUUGGAUUGCAUGGGCCCUUCCCUGCCCAGCAGCUGGAGGGACUGCUGACAGCCCCGUCUCCAGCCCAGCUCUCUCCUUGAGGCAUGGCUCAUGCAUGCAGCUGCCCUCCCAGGGUCGUUACAGGACGGCUUAUCUUCCCGAGGCCCCUUCAGGGCACCUCCCUUCCUGCUUCGCCAAAGAGACCGAGUCGUUUUGUUUUUUUUUUUGUUUUUUUUUGUUUUUUUUUUUGCACACUGCAGUUCGGUCUGCUGGUGGAUCAUGUUGGCUCUCAAUUCCAAGGGCAUUCAGUACCUGAUUGCUUUUCCCCCCAUCUGCCCCUGCCCGGGACCAAGCCACCAGGUCCCUCCUGGAGAGCUCUUGGCACCUCCAGCAGUCUCCUGGCCUGCAGCGAUGCCCUGGGUGGGCAGUCGUCCAGCCGUGCUCUUCCGCAGCACAAGCAGAGCCCUCCAGGGGCCUCCAUCUCACACAGGUCACUUCCUCACCUCCUUUGAGUCUCUUGUCUGGUGCCACUUUCUCAUAAAGCCUUCCUCGACUGGCUUCUCAAAAUGUGCAGCCUGUGUCCCUCGCCCCCUUGUUUUCUCGCACCUCCUGGCCUCAUCUGACACGUGUGCAUUCAUUUGGUGGUUGUCUGUCUCCCACAUUCCCUGUAAACUGCCUGGAAUCAGCAUUUUGCCUGUCCUGCUCACAGCUGUAUCCCCAAUAUGCACCGACGUGUCAUAGAUGCUCAAAAAGUAUUUGAAUGCUAGGUAUGUUUAUCCCUGUUUUGCAGAUUGAGUAAUCGAAGGUCUGAGGGGUUAAGCUGCUUGCCACAGACCCCGAAGUGCCAGUAUAUGGAUUAAAAUUCAGACAUUAAAAUUCAUGAGCUUAAUUGCUCUGUAUGCUCCUUUUUCUUUCUCUCUCUCUCCUUCCUUCCUUCUGUCUUUUUGGAGGCACUCGUAGCAUGUGGAAGUUCCCAGGCCAGGGAUCGCACCCGUGCCGCAGCAGUGACCCAGGCCCCUGCAGUGACAACACUGGAUUCUUACGCUGCUGCGCCACAAGAGAACUCCUUUAUGCUCCCUUUUCUUGUUAAAAAGGACAGUAAUAGGUAAGACGCAGAUUUGCCAUGAGGAGGACAUGAAUACUGCACAGGAAAACACUUUGCGGGAAUGUUACUUAUUCAAUUUAUUGAGAACCUUAGCUUUUUGUGUCUGUUUUAUUCCACAACCCGCCUGAAAGUUCUUUUGUGUUCUCGGGUUUUUAUUUAGGAGUAGCUGACACUGUCCCACCAAACUGCAGGAGAAGCCUGCGUGUGUGUUUGUGUCUCUCUGUGGCUCUGAUCUUCCCCACAGG
ensembl:lncRNA